GACGAACCGUGCGAACGUUGUUCGGAAUCACUGGGCUUAAAGGGCGCGUAGGCGGGCUGGCAAGUCCGGGGUGAAAUACCGUCGGCUCAACCGGCGGACGGCCUGGGAUACUGCCGGCCUCGAGGCGGGUAGGGGCGGUGCGGAACUAUGGGUGGAGCGGUGAAAUGCGUUGAUAUCCAUAGGAACUCCGGUGGCGAAGGCGGCACGCUGGACCCGAAUCGUGACGCUGAGGCGCGAAAGCCAGGG
rnacentral:rRNA from 1 species